UACGGGGGGGGCAAGCGUUGUUCGGAAUUACUGGGCGUAAAGGGCUCGUAGGCGGCCAACUAAGUCGGAUGUGAAAUCCCCAGGCUCAACCUGGGAACUGCAUCCGAUACUGGAUGGCUUGAAUUCGGGAGAGGGAUGCAGAAUUCCAGGUGUAGCGGUGAAAUGCGUAAAUAUCUGGAGGAAUACCGGUGGCGAAGGCGGCAUCCUGGACCGACAUUGACGCUGAGGAGCGAAAGCCAGGGGAGCGAUCCGG
rnacentral:rRNA from 1 species